GCACAAGCGGUGGAGCAUGUGGUUUAAUUCGACGCAACGCGCAGAACCUUACCAGGGUUUGACAUCCUGCGACCGCUCCUGAAAGGGAGUUUUCCCGCAAGGGACGCAGAGACAGGUGCUGCAUGGCUGUCGUCAGCUCGUGUCGUGAGAUGUUGGGUUAAGUCCCGCAACGAGCGCAACCCCCGUCCUUAGUUGCUACCAUUUAGUUGAGCACUCUAAGGAGACUGCCGGUGAUAAGCCGCGAGGAAGGUGGGGAUGACGUCAAGUCCUCAUGGCCCUUACGGGCUGGGCUACACACGUGCUACAAUGGCGGUGACAAUGGGACGCUAAGGGGCAACCCUUCGCAAAUCUCAAAAAGCCGUCUCAGUUCGGAUUGGGCUCUGCAACUCGAGCCCAUGAAGUUGGAAUCGCUAGUAAUCGUGGAUCAGCACGCCACGGUGAAUACGUUCCCGGGC
rnacentral:rRNA from 1 species